GACGAACGCUGGCGGCGUGCUUAACACAUGCAAGUCGAACGGAAAGGCCCUGCUUUUGUGGGGUGCUCGAGUGGCGAACGGGUGAGUAACACGUGAGUAACCUGCCCUUGACUUUGGGAUAACUUCAGGAAACUGGGGCUAAUACCGGAUAGGAGCUCCUGCUGCAUGGUGGGGGUUGGAAAGUUUCGGCGGUUGGGGAUGGACUCGCGGCUUAUCAGCUUGUUGGUGGGGUAGUGGCUUACCAAGGCUUUGACGGGUAGCCGGCCUGAGAGGGUGACCGGCCACAUUGGGACUGAGAUACGGCCCAGACUCCUACGGGAGGCAGCAGUGGGGAAUAUUGCACAAUGGGCGGAAGCCUGAUGCAGCAACGCCGCGUGCGGGAUGACGGCCUUCGGGUUGUAAACCGCUUUCGCCUGUGACGAAGCGUGAGUGACGGUAAUGGGUAAAGAAGCACGGCUCACUACGUG
rnacentral:rRNA from 1 species